GUUGUAUGGUUAAGUGACUAAGCGUACACGGUGGAUGCCUUGGCAGUCAGAGGCGAUGAAGGACGUAUUAACUUGCGAUAAGCCCAGAUUAGGUAGUAAAAACCAUUUGAGUCUGGGAUUUCCGAAUGGGGAAACCCACUUACAUAAGUAAGUAUCCUGUUGUGAAUACAUAGCAACAGGAGGCGAACCGGGGGAACUGAAACAUCUAAGUACCCCGAGGAAAAGAAAUCAACCGAGAUUCCGAAAGUAGCGGCGAGCGAAAUUGGACUAGCCCUUAAGCUUUAUAUGCGUUAGACGAACGGUCUGGAAAGUCCGGCGAUACAGGGUGAUAGCCCCGUAGUUGACAACGCACAUUCAGUGAAAUCGAGUAGGGCGGGACACGUGAUAUCCUGUCUGAAUAUGGGGGGACCAUCCUCCAAGGCUAAAUACUACUGACUGACCGAUAGUGAACCAGUACCAUGAGGGAAAGGCGAAAAGAACCCCUGUGAGGGGAGUGAAAUAGAACCUGAAACCGUGUACGUACAAGCAGUAGGAGCACCUUCGUGGUGUGACUGCGUACCUUUU
rnacentral:rRNA from 1 species